UACGAAGGGUGCAAGCGUUACUCGGAAUUACUGGGCGUAAAGCGUGCGUAGGUGGUGAGUUAAGUCUGUCGUGAAAGCCCCGGGCUCAACCUGGGAAUGGCGAUGGAUACUGGCUCGCUAGAGUGCGGUAGAGGAGAGUGGAAUUCCCGGUGUAGCAGUGAAAUGCGUAGAGAUCGGGAGGAACAUCAGUUGCGAAGGCGGCUCUUUGGUCUGUAACUGACGCUGAGGCGCGAAAGCGUGGGGAGCAAACAGG
rnacentral:rRNA from 1 species